UACGUAGGGUGCAAGCAUUAUUCGGAAUUACUGGGCGUAAAGCGUGCGCAGGCGGUGAUGUAAGACAGGUGUGAAAUCCCCGGGCUUAACCUGGGAACUGCAUUUGUGACUGCAUCGCUGGAGUGCGGCAGAGGGGGAUGGAAUUCCGCGUGUAGCAGUGAAAUGCGUAGAUAUGCGGAGGAACACCGAUGGCGAAGGCAAUCCCCUGGGACUGCACUGACGCUGAUGCACGAAAGCGUGGGGAGCAAACAGG
rnacentral:rRNA from 1 species